rnacentral:rRNA from 1 species
CACGUAGGGUGCAAGCGUUGUCCGGAAUUAUUGGGCGUAAAGAGCUCGUAGGCGGUUUGUCGCGUCUGCUGUGAAAACUCAGGGCUUAACCCUGAGCUUGCAGUGGGUACGGGCAGACUAGAGUGCGGUAGGGGAGACUGGAAUUCCUGGUGUAGCGGUGAAAUGCGCAGAUAUCAGGAGGAACACCGGUGGGCGAAGGCGGGUCUCUGGGCCGUAACUGACGCUGGAGGAG